CUGCCCUACGGGAGGCAGCAGUGGGGAAUUUUGGACAAUGGGCGCAAGCCUGAUCCAGCUAUUCCGCGUGUGGGAUGAAGGCCAUCGGGUUGUAAACCUCUUUUGUAGAGAACGAAAAGACACCUUCGAAUAAAGGGUGUUGCUGCCGGUACUCUAAGAAUAAGCACCGGCUAACUACGUGCCAGCAGCCGCGGUAAUACGUAGGGUGCGAGCGUUAAUCGGAAUUACUGGGCGUAAAGGGUGCGCAGGCGGUGGAGUAAGACAGAUGUGAAAUCCUCGAGCUUAACUCGGGACUGGCA
rnacentral:rRNA from 1 species